UACGUAGGGUGCGAGCGUUAAUCGGAAUUACUGGGCGUAAAGCGUGCGCAGGCGGUUUUGUAAGCCAGACGUGAAAUCCCCCGGCUUAACCUGGGAACUGCGUCUGAUACUGGAGGGCUUGAGUAUGGGAGAGGGAUGUAGAAUUCCAGGUGUAGCGGUGAAAUGCGUAGAUAUCUGGAGGAAUACCGGUGGCGAAGGCGGCAUCCUGGACCAUUACUGACGCUGAGGCGCGAAAGCUAGGGGAGCAAACGGG
rnacentral:rRNA from 1 species